rnacentral:rRNA from 1 species
CCUACGGGAGGCAGCAGUGGGGAAUAUUGCACAAUGGGCGAAAGCCUGAUGCAGCGAUGCCGCGUGCGGGAAGAAGGCCUUAGGGUUGUAAACCGCUUUCAGUAGGGAAGAAAAUGACGGUACCUACAGAAGAAGGUGCGGCCAACUACGUGCCAGCAGCCGCGGUGACACGUAGGCACCAAGCGUUGUCCGGAUUUAUUGGGCGUAAAGAGCUCGUAGGCGGUUUGGUAAGUCGGGUGUGAAAACUCUGGGCUCAACCCAGAGAGGCCACUCGAUACUGCUAUGACUUGAGUACGGUAGGGAUGGGGAAUUUCUAGUGUAGCGGUGAAAUGCGCAGAUAUUAGAAGGAACACCAGUGGCGAAGGCGCCACUCUGGGCCGUAACUGACGCUGAGGAGCGAAAGCAUGGGUAGCAAACAGGAUUAGAUACCCUGGUAGUCCAUGCCGUAAACGUUGGGCACUAGGUNUGGGUCUCAACCACGAGAUCCGNCCGUGCUAACGCAUUAAGUNCCCGCUGGGNGAGCGCAGACAACACAGANAGAGNGNGNGAGAGCGACGAGACGACGACGAGAG